rnacentral:rRNA from 1 species
UACGUAGGGGGCCAGCGUUGUCCGGAAUCAUUGGGCGUAAAGCGCGCGUAGGCGGUCAGGUAAGUCCGGUGUGAAAGUCAAAGGCUCAACCUUUGAAUGCCGCUGGAUACUGCUUGACUUGAGUCCGGAAGGGGCGAGUGGAACUCCUGGUGUAGCGGUGGAAUGCGCAGAUAUCAGGAAGAACACCAACGGCGAAGGCAGCUCGCUAGGACGGUACUGACGCUGAGACGCGAAAGCGUGGGGAGCGAACAGG